rnacentral:misc_RNA from 1 species
AACGCACAUUGCGCCCGCCAGUAUUCUGGCGGGCAUGCCUGUUCGAGCGUCAUUUCAACCAUCAAGCCCCCGGCUUGUGUUGGGGACCCGCGGCUGCCGCGGGCCCUGAAAGACAGUGGCGGUCUCGCUGUGGCACCGAGCGUAGUAGCAUACACCUCGCUCCGGUCGCGCGGCGGGCUUCCGGCCGUAAAAACCCCUUCUAACACAAGGUUGACCUCGGAUCAGGUAGGAAUACCCGCUGAACUUAA